AUGGCCAUGCCUGAGGGACCCGUUGCCACUCUUUCUGUCCUCAAGCCCCCUCAGAUACAUGGCCAGACUCUGGAAACAAUGGCCGUUCUUCGGGAGGACCCUCCACAGGGUCAGGAGGAGAGUUGGGGUCAGUGGGGGGUUGAACAUCAGGGUCAGGGCGAGGUUGGUGCCGUACUGCCAUGCAGUGAGUCCUUGAGCACCACUUCCCCGCCGGCAGCACCGGAGCAGCCUGGAGAUCCAGGGUCCCCUAUGAUGGGACCUACCCAGGCUCAAAUAACCACAGAGACCAUCAGAGACCUGGAGGAGUACCACAGACCGAGUACCUUCACUGCACGCGGUGAUUGGACCAAUUCGGCUGGACUGACCGUGGGGAACAGGAUCUUGUGGGUAAGCGGGGAUGCCGAACUGGAGCUUUGGUCCGGGACCACGGACGACCCUGGGUGUAGGCCUGGGCCAGCCUUGGGUCUGGUCUCAGGCAUAAAGGGACACUCAGGCACACAGCCUCCCUAUGAGGUACGAGAGGAGACAGAGAGGGUGAAGGAAGUCCCCUCCACGCGUUCGUCCCAACCCUUUUCUCCGUCGCCCUCUCCUGUCCUCUCUCCGGGCCAGACUCUGGGCUGUGUGGAUCAUCGUGGAUCAGAGGAGGGCGGUUUGUUUGACCUGCUUCGCAUCGUAAAACACAAACCCAGUGCCAUAGUCUUCUCCGGGGAGGACAAUGUCAGCCCAACGAGGGCCGCCGUCGUUCGGAGCACCGACGGAGAGGAGCCUUUAUCGGCCGAUGAGGAGGACGGUUACGAUGGUGGCGAGGGUGAUGACGAUGAUGAGGAUGACGAAGAGGUCCCAGAGCUGCCGCAGUACAAGGAGUUCCUGGUCAGUCGGCGACGUAGAAGCCUGAGCAGGAACAGGAAGGCACUGAGGAAAGGACAGGAAGUCCUACACACAGGCUUUCUGAUUGACCGGGGCUUCACCAAUAAGACCAACUCACUAGCCAAGCAGGAAGAGGAGGGGGAAAAAGAGACUAAAAAGAAGCAGGUGAGAUAA
rnacentral:lncRNA from 1 species